UUACUACUCCCUCCGUUCAGAAUUAGUCGUAAAAAAUGAAUGUAUCUAGAUGUAUUUUAGUUAUAGAUACAUCCAUUUUUGUGACAAGUAAUUCCGAACGGAGGGAGUAGCUA
rfam:Triticum aestivum genome assembly, contig: Triticum_aestivum_CS42_TGACv1_scaffold_499807_6BL